CCAUGGUGUAACAGGCACAGCACGCCAUCCCUACACACAAUGCUCAUCAUCAAGGUAAAACUGUACCAACUGUCAUCCAUGGUGUAACAGGCACAGCACGCCAUCCCUACACACAACACUCAUCAUCAAGGUAAAACUGUACCAACUGUCAUCCAUGGUGUAACAGGCACAGCACGCCAUCCCUACACACAACACUCAUCAUAAGGGUAAAACUGUACCAACUGUCAUCCAUGGUGUAACAGGCACAGCACGCCAUCCCUACACACAACACUCAUCAUCAAGGUAAAACUGUACCAACUGUCAUCCAUGGUGUAACAGGCACAGCACGCCAUCCCUACACACAACACUCAUCAUCAAGGUAAAACUGUACCAACUGUCAUCCAUGGUGUAACAGGCACAGCACGCCAUCCCUACACACAACACUCAUCAUCAAGGUAAAACUGUACCAACUGUCAUCCAUGGUGUAACAGGCACAGCACGCCAUCCCUACACACA